GGGCUACAGCAUAGAGCAUUCUGGGUAAAUACAACCAAAACAAACGCAAGAGUCUAGCGCUAACAGGAGAAAUGACCCGCCUUUUUUCAAAGACAAAAACGAAAUUCUGCAAUGGCUAGAAUCUGUUUUAUG